AUCCAAAUAACCGGACUAAGCAUGUAGAUCGUGUUGCAGAGGACUUGCGGACGCGGGUUCAAUUCCCGCCGCCUCCACCA
rnacentral:tmRNA from 1 species